AAGUUCUUCCUCAGCCCUCCGCAGGCCAAGUGGUCUCAGCUGUCCGAGGUCCUCAGCUGGCAGUUCUCCUCCGUCACCAAGCGAGGCCUGAACCAGGAGCAGCUCAACAUGCUGGCUGACAAACUGCUCGGAGCCAAAGCCAAGAGGAACCCAGAGGGACAAAUCCCCUGGACCAAGUUGUGCAAGAGUGCGAACGAGAAAGCGUAUUCCUUCUGGUUGUGGAUCGAAGGAAUCCUGGAUGUGAUUAAAAGACACCUGCUUUCCCUUUGGAAUGACGGGUGAGUG